UCUUAUGGACGAGCAAAAUAAGAGGUUUCCUGAAAUGGAAUCCACUCCUGGUGAAGAUGCUGUGAA
rnacentral:pre_miRNA from 1 species